ACAAUUCCAAGUUGUUGGGAAUUUUGCUUUCUCCAAGUUCAGCCCAGGUUCCUGGGCUAAAUUACAAGUAGUCUGGCUGCCUGCCAAGCUGUGGAGCCUGAGAAUAAGAGGAAGUACAUAGAAGCAUAGUGGCAGGGAUUGAAUCUGCUGGCCUUGCACGUUCCCUGGGGUCCACUGGGAUCUGCACUUUGGCUGUUACCUUGACAGAUGGAAGAGGUGGAGGGUCCUGGAGAUGUGGCCGUGUGAGUGGAAGCACAGAGGAGAUGUUUGACACCGCAGUCCUCCCUGACUUCAUCAUCCCUGGAGCUCUGCAGGGAAGGGAAAGGAAGAAGGGCUUAAGCACCAGGAGGAGGGAGCAGAUGGGACACCGAAUCAGCAGCAGAGAAAGAUUCUGCUUUUGGCCCAGGGCAGAAGCACAGAUGUCUAGGCCAUUUCACAUUCUGCCUUUCCCUCUUUAUGCAAAAAAAUGUUUUGCUUGACUUCCUA